UACAGAGACCUCAAGCGUUUAUCCGGAAUUAUUAGGGGCGUGAAACGUACCGACAGGUGGUUUGGUUAGUCUUGGGUGAAAUCCCGAAGCUCAACUUCGGGUUUGCUUAAGAUACUGCCAGACUAGAGGGGGCAAAGAGGUGCUUGGAACGAAACGGUGUAGUAGUGAAAUGCGUUGAUAUCGUUCGGAACACCGAAAGCCGA
rnacentral:rRNA from 1 species